GCCUGUGCUCCCUGACCUGGAAGGCGCCUGCCAGGGGCACCAGUCAAGCCUGAGGAAGGCUGGGCAGCUGUCCAGGUCACUCUGUCACAGUUGAUUUAGGGGGGCUGGAGGUGUCCAGAGCCAUCAGAAACAGCCAAGUGUCUGGGACCUCAAAGCCCAUAAGUUAUGUUGUUCUCCACACUGCUCCUCAAGAGUCUGCGAUGACUUCCUGGGAACUAGAAUCAUCAAAAUCAGUUUAUGCCAAAAGAAAUUACUUUCCAUCUCUCUGAAGUGGGUGUAGAGCCGGGGAAGCAUCUGCAAAGGGUUUCUCUGUGUAACAGCCCAGGCUGUCCUGGAACUUGCUCUGUAGGCCAGGCUGGCCUCAAACUUAGUGAACUGCCUGCCUGUGCCUCCUGAGUGCUGGGAUAAAAGGUCACCCGAGAUCUGCAAGGCCCUGUCUGUCGUCUCCGCACAGCCUCCACCAGCAGACAUCUAAAGAUCUCCAUGAAGAUGAGGUGUCUCAUCAGAGUUGUUGGGACUUACCCACAGAGGGGUCCCUAAAACCAAGGGACAUAGGGUGGUGUUAAGAUGCCUAAGUCCAAUGCCCCCCACUUCAUAGCCUCUAGGUCUCGGUCGUUUCCAG
rnacentral:lncRNA from 1 species